GACGAACGCUGGCGGCGUGCUUAACACAUGCAAGUCGAACGGAAAGGCCCUGCUUUUGUGGGGUUCUCGAGAGGCGAACGCGAGAGUAACACGUGAGUAACCUCCCCCUGACUUUGGGAUAACUUCAGGAAACUGGGGCUAAUACCGGAUAGGAGCUCCUGCUGCGUGGUGGGGGUUGGAAAGAUUCGGCGGUUGGGGAUGGACGCGCGGCUUCUCAGCUUGUUGGUGGGGUAGUGGCUUAGCAAGGUUUUGACGGGUAGCCGGCCUGAGAGGGUGACCGGGCACAGUGGGACUGCGGUACGGCCCAGACGGCAACGUCAGGCAGCGGUGGAAACUAUUGCGCAAUGGGCGGAAGCCUGAUGCAGCGACGCCGGGUUCGUGAUGACUGCCUUCGGGGUGUAAACCGCUGUGGCCUGAGACGAAGCGUGAGUGACGGUAAUGGAUAAGGAAGCACCGGCUAACUACGUG
rnacentral:rRNA from 1 species